CCUACGGGGCGCAGCAGUGGGGAAUAUUGGACAAUGGGCGAAAGCCUGAUCCAGCCAUGCCGCGUGUGUGAAGAAGGCCUUCGGGUUGUAAAGCACUUUCAGUGGGGAAGAAAGCCUUGGGGCUAAUACCCUCGAGGAAGGACAUCACCCACAGAAGAAGCACCGGCUAACUCCGUGCCAGCAGCCGCGGUAAUACGGAGGGUGCGAGCGUUAAUCGGAAUUACUGGGCGUAAAGCGCGCGUAGGCGGUCUGAUAAGCCGGUUGUGAAAGCCCCGGGCUCAACCUGGGAACGGCAUCCGGAACUGUCAGGCUAGAGUGCAGGAGAGGAAGGUAGAAUUCCCGGGGUAGCGGUGAAAUGCGUAGAGAUCGGGAGGAAUACCAGUGGCGAAGGCGGCCUUCUGGACUGACACUGACGCUGAGGUGCGAAAGCGUGGGUAGCAAACAGGAUUAGAUACCCUGGUAGUC
rnacentral:rRNA from 1 species